UACGUAGGGCGCAAGCGUUGUCCGGAAUUAUUGGGCGUAAAGAGCUCGUAGGCGGCUCGUUGCGUCAAUCGUGAAAACCUACUGCUUAACGGUGGGCUUGCGGUUGAUACGGGCGGGCUGGAGUUCGGUAGGGGAGACUGGAAUUCCUGGUGUAGCGGUGAAAUGCGUAGAUAUCAGGAGGAACACCGGUGGUGUAAACGGCUUUCUGGACCAUAACUGACGCUGAGGCACGAAAGCGUGGGUAGCAAACAGG
rnacentral:rRNA from 1 species